AGACGUUCGUGCCUUUUCUACUUACAUUGAUCUUCAUGCCCUUCACUGGGAAUAUCUUCAUGGGUGGAACCUCGUGAGGCAUGUAUCUGAAGAACUCGUGACGGCCUUUGUACCACUUCACACUGUAGAGGCUGUCUCCACCGAGGUUGUAGCUGCAGCGAAAAGUGGCCAAAAUAAUUUUACGAACACGAAGUCCGGGCAACAUGCAACUCCUGUGGGCCUAUAAGAUCAUGCCAAGAAUGAAGAGAAAAAAAGAGACAUGAAUAAAUUAAAAGAGAAUACCAAGCGACUCCAUGAAUGGCAGAAAAAGGGAACUCAUUCCCCUAAGUUUUUAACCACAACCAUGGAACACACAUGGAACCAUCGUUUUUGGAGCAUGGCCUGCAUUUCCCUACUACGAAAAAAACCAACCCGAGGGGGAGGGAGGAGGGACAAUUUUGCCAGAUUUUUGCAGCCAUAUAAAUCAUUUCUCCAUUCAUGCUGGAUGGAGCUUUGACCAGAAGAGAAAAAGGCCCCUCAUCUUUCAAAGUUUCUUUCGCGGAAUCCUGCAUUUUGGGACAGUCAGCCCAUUGUCCAUGGUGGUGGUGCAGGUCUUUUUGCAUUGUGGUGGGGUCCUUUUUUUUAUUCGCGUGAUGCAUAUAAAAUCCAACCAAUCGCAGACUUUUCCCUUUCCAUGGCGAUUGCAUCCCUUUGACUUUGAAACAAGGGAACAAUUAAUGUGAGCCAAAUAAUCUAUGGCUCUUUCGAGUAAGCGUGAGAAUUAAAGGCCAAUCGGUGACAGUCAUCAAGAUUAAGUGUCAAAGAGAGCGUGCUUUUGUUGAUGACCAUCAUAGCU